CUAUUACUCCCUCCGUUCGGAAUUACUUGUCUCGAAAAUGGAUGUAUCUAGAACUAAAAUACGUCUAGAUACAUCCAUUUCUACGACAAGUAAUUCCGAACGGAGGGAGUAUGUG
rnacentral:pre_miRNA from 1 species